CCCUACAUAGUGGGGGAGUAACAGUCGGAAACGACUGCUAAUACCGCAUAGGACAUAGGAUCACAUGAUCCAGUGAGGAAAGGUGGCGCAAGCUAUCGCUAAGAGAUGGACCCGCGGUGCAUUAGCUAGUUGGUAGGGUAAAGGCCUACCAAGGCGAUGAUGCAUAGCCGACCUGAGAGGGUGAUCGGCCACAUUGGGACUGAGACACGGCCCAA
rnacentral:rRNA from 1 species